CCCUUAGAUGUUCUGGGCCGCACGCGCGCUACACUGAUUCAUGCAACGAGCUUAUAACCUUGGCCGAAAGGUCUGGGUAAUCUCCAAAUUUCGUCGUGAUGGGGAUAGAUUAUUGCAAUUAUUAAUCUUCAACGAGGAAUGCCUAGUAAGCGCAAGUCAUCAGCUUGCGUUGAUUACGUCCCUGCCCUUUGUACACACCGCCCGUCGCUCCUACCGAUUGAAUGGUCCGGUGAAGCGUUCGGACCGUGGCCUUUGGACGGUUCGCCGUCUGUUGGCUGCGGGAAGUUCGUUAAACCUUAUCAUUUAGAGGAAGGAGAAGUCGUAACA
rnacentral:rRNA from 1 species